GAGGUAGAUGUUAUAUAAGAGGAAGGCCGUCAGCAGAGGUAGAUGUUAUAGAAGAGGAAGGCAGUCAGCAGAGGUAGAUGUUAUAGAAGAGGAAGGCCGUCAGCAGAGGUAGAUGUUAUAUAAGAGGAAGGCCGUCAGCAGAGGUAGAUGUUAUAUAAGAGGAAGGCCGUCAGCAGAGGUAGAUGUUAUAGAAGAGGAAGGCCGUCAGCAGAGGUAGAUGUUAUAUAAGAGGAAGGCCGUCAGCAGAGGUAGAUGUUAUAUAAGAGGAAGGCCGUCAGCAGAGGUAGAUGUUAUAGAAGAGGAAGGCCGUCAGCAGAGGUAGAUGUUAUAUAAGAGGAAGGCCGUCAGCAGAGGUAGAUGUUAUAGAAGAGGAAGGCCGUCAGCAGAGGUAGAUGUUAUAGAAGAGGAAGGCCGUCAGCAGAGGUAGAUGUUAUAUAAGAGGAAGGCCGUCAGCAGAGGUAGAUGUUAUAGAAGAGGAAGGCCGUCAGCAGAGGUAGAUGUUAUAGAAGAGGAAGGCCGUCAGCAGAGGUAGAUGUUAUAGAAGAGGAAGGCCGUCAGCAGAGGUAGAUGUUAUAGAAGAGGAAGGCCGUCAGCAGAGGUAGAUGUUAUAGAAGAGGAAGGCCGUCAGCAGAGGUAGAUGUUAUAGAAGAGGAAGGCAGUCAGCAGAGGUAGAUGUUAUAGAAGAGGAAGGCCGUCAGCAGAGGUAGAUGUUAUAGAAGAGGAAGGCCGUCAGCAGAGGUAGAUGUUAUAUAAGAGGAAGGCCGUCAGCAGAGGUAGAUGUUAUAGAAGAGGAAGGCCGUCAGCAGAGGUAGAUGUUACUGUUAUAUAAGAGGAAGGCCGUCAGCAGAGGUAGAUGUUAUAGAAGAGGAAGGCAGUCAGCAGAGGUAGAUGUUAUAUAAGAGGAAGGCCGUCAGCAGAGGUAGAUGUUAUAGAAGAGGAAGGCCGUCAGCAGAGGUAGAUGUUAUAGAAGAGGAAGGCCGUCAGCAGAGGUAGAUGUUAUAGAAGAGGAAGGCCGUCAGCAGAGGUAGAUGUUAUAGAAGAGGAAGGCAGUCAGCAGAGGUAGAUGUUAUAUAAGAGGAAGGCCGUCAGCAGAGGUAGAUGUUAUAUAAGAGGAAGGCAGUCAGCAGAGGUAGAUGUUAUAGAAGAGGAAGGCAGUCAGCAGAGGUAGAUGUUAUAGAAGAGGAAGGCAGUCAGCAGAGGUAGAUGUUAUAUAAGAGGAAGGCCGUCAGCAGAGGUAGAUGUUAUAUAAGAGGAAGGCCGUCAGCAGAGGUAGAUGUUAUAGAAGAGGAAGGCCGUCAGCAGAGGUAGAUGUUAUAGAAGAGGAAGGCCGUCAGCAGAGGUAGAUGUUAUAUAAGAGGAAGGCCGUCAGCAGAGGUAGAUGUUAUAUAAGAGGAAGGCCGUCAGCAGAGGUAGAUGUUAUAGAAGAGGAAGGCCGUCAGCAGAGGUAGAUGUUAUAGAAGAGGAAGGCCGUCAGCAGAGGUAGAUGUUAUAGAAGAGGAAGGCCGUCAGCAGAGGUAGAUGUUAUAUAAGAGGAAGGCCGUCAGCAGAGGUAGAUGUUAUAUAAGAGGAAGGCAGUCAGCAGAGGUAGAUGUUAUAGAAGAGGAAGGCCGUCAGCAGAGGUAGAUGUUAUAGAAGAGGAAGGCCGUCAGCAGAGGUAGAUGUUAUAGAAGAGGAAGGCCGUCAGCAGAGGUAGAUGUUAUAGAAGAGGAAGGCCGUCAGCAGAGG